rnacentral:rRNA from 1 species
UUGUACACACCGCCCGUCGCUCUUACCGAUGGACUUCUCUGUGAGUUUGAGGGACUGAGUAUUUUUGCCUAUGGAAACUUAAACGAACAGUGUGGUCUAAAGGAAAGAGAAGUCGUAACAAGGCAUCGGUAGGUGAACCUGCCGAUGGAUCA